rnacentral:rRNA from 1 species
AACGAACGCUGGCGGCAUGCCUAACACAUGCAAGUCGAACGAGACCUUCGGGUCUAGUGGCGCACGGGUGCGUAACGCGUGGGAACCUGCCCUUAGGUUCGGAAUAACUCCCCGAAAGGGGUGCUAAUACCGGAUAAUGUCUUCGGACCAAAGAUUUAUCGCCUUUGGAUGGGCCCGCGUUGGAUUAGCUAGUUGGUAGGGUAAAAGCCUACCAAGGCGACGAUCCAUAGCUGGUCUGAGAGGAUGAUCAGCCACACUGGAACUGAGACACGGCCCAGACUCCUACGGGAAGAAGCAGUGGGGAAUAUUGGACAAUGGGCGAAAGCCUGAUCCAGCAAUGCCGCGUGAGUGAUGAAGGCCCUAGGGUUGUAAAGCUCUUUUACCCGGGAUGAUAAUGACAGUACCGGGAGAAUAAGCUCCGGCUAACUCCGUG